GCCUCCUGCAAACCUCAAUGUAUAGGAGGUCUUGCCUGCCCAGUGACAAGUUAAACGGCCGCGGUAUUCUGACCGUGCAAAGGUAGCGCAAUCACUUGUCUUUUAAAUGAAGACCUGUAUGAAUGGUGAAACGAGGGCUUAACUGUCUCCCCUUUCAAGUCAAUGAAAUUGAUCUGCCCGUGCAGAAGCGGACAUAAAAAUACAAGACGAGAAGACCCUUUGGAGCUUAAGACACAAGAUCAUCUAUGUCAAGAAUCCAACACGAUCAAACUAAAUAGCAACUGAUCCUCAUCUUCAGUUGGGGCGACCACGGGAAAAAAUAAAGCUCCCGCGCGGACUGGGAUCAACUCCUAAAACCAAGAGAGACAUCUCCAAGUCACAGAAUAUCUGACCAUAAAGAUCCGGCCACACACCGAUCAACGAACCAAGUUACCCUAGGGAUAACAGCGCAAUCCUCUUUCAGAGUCCAUAUCGACAAGAGGGUUUACGACCUCGAUGUUGGAUCAGGACAUCCUAAUGGCGCAGCCGCUAUUAAGGGUUCGUUUGUUCAACGAUUAAAGUCCU
rnacentral:rRNA from 1 species